UACGUAGGGUGCAAGCGUUGUCCGGAAUUAUUGGGCGUAAAGAGCUCGUAGGCGGUUUGUCGCGUCUGCUGUGAAAACCCGAGGCUCAACCUCGGGCCUGCAGUGGGUACGGGCAGACUAGAGUGGCGGUAGGGGAGAUUGGAAUUCCUGGUGUAGCGGUGGAAUGCGCAGAUAUCAGGAGGAACACCGAUGGCGAAGGCAG
rnacentral:rRNA from 1 species